rnacentral:misc_RNA from 1 species
CACAAAUCUUAUGGUACAGUUAUCCUCCUUUUUUUAUUGUUCAUUUCUUUGUAGCAUAAUUUGGUAGACAUGGUCUUACCAUCCCUCUCUAUAUAUUCAUGUGUGGGUGAACUGAAAAGAAAUGCCCAUGAACAAGGUAGUUAAGCAUAUCAACUAUAUAUUAUGAGUACAAUUUUUUAUUUGGCUGUGCAUAUCUUCAAUUUUUCCUUUUAAAAAUGCAGCUUGUAGAAAAGUUUGGUAUUGA